UCACUCUGGUUUCUCUUCAUAAUGCACAAGACUUUAGCCAUUUACUAAAGACUUCCUUGGAGGGGAACGCUGAUGAGUGAUCGAGAGAUUUUUGGUGGGCUUUGCUGUUUGGCUGAGC